rnacentral:rRNA from 1 species
ACAUGCCUACAACAUAUCAUUAAUGCAUGGGAUCCCAUUAGAACUCCGCAGUUAAACACGCUCAGACUAGAUUAGUACUGGGAUGGGUGACCGAUCGAGAAGUCCUAGUGUUUUACAUGCC